rnacentral:rRNA from 1 species
AGAGUUUGACCCUGGCUCAGGACGAACGCUGGCGGCGUGCCUAAUACAUGCAAGUCGAGCGGGCUUGCCUAGAUGAUUUUAGUGCUUGCACUAAAUGAAACUAGAUACAAGCGAGCGGCGGACGGGUGAGUAACACGUGGGUAACCUGCCCAAGAGACUGGGAUAACACCUGGAAACAGAUGCUAAUACCGGAUAACAACACUAGACGCAUGUCUAGAGUUUGAAAGAUGGUUCUGCUAUCACUCUUGGAUGGACCUGCGGUGCAUUAGCUAGUUGGUAAGGUAACGGCUUACCAAGGCAAUGAUGCAUAGCCGAGUUGAGAGACUGAUCGGCCACAUUGGGACUGAGACACGGCCCAAACUCCUACGGGAGGCAGCAGUAGGGAAUCUUCCACAAUGGACGAAAGUCUGAUGGAGCAACGCCGCGUGAGUGAAGAAGGGUUUCGGCUCGUAAAGCUCUGUUGGUAGUGAAGAAAGAUAGAGGUAGUAACUGGCCUUUAUUUGACGGUAAUUACUUAGAAAGUCACGGCUAACUACGUGCCAGCAGCCGCGGUAAUACGUAGGUGGCAAGCGUUGUCCGGAUUUAUUGGGCGUAAAGCGAGUGCAGGCGGUUCAAUAAGUCUGAUGUGAAAGCCUUCGGCUCAACCGGAGAAUUGCAUCAGAAACUGUUGAACUUGAGUGCAGAAGAGGAGAGUGGAACUCCAUGUGUAGCGGUGGAAUGCGUAGAUAUAUGGAAGAACACCAGUGGCGAAGGCGGCUCUCUGGUCUGCAACUGACGCUGAGGCUCGAAAGCAUGGGUAGCGAACAGGAUUAGAUACCCUGGUAGUCCAUGCCGUAAACGAUGAGU